rnacentral:rRNA from 1 species
GGCGAGUGGCGAACGGGUGAGUAAUAUAUCGGAACGUACCUUUCAGUGGGGGAUAACGUAGCGAAAGUUACGCUAAUACCGCAUAUUCUGUGAGCAGGAAAGCAGGGGAUCGCAAGACCUUGCGCUGAUUGAGCGGCCGAUAUCAGAUUAGCUAGUUGGUGAGGUAAAGGCUCACCAAGGCGACGAUCUGUAGCGGGUCUGAGAGGAUGAUCCGCCACACUGGAACUGACGACACGGUCCCAGACUCCUACGGGAGGCAGCAGUGGGGAAUUUUGGACCAAUGGGCGCAAGCCUGAUCCAGCCAUGCCGCGUGAGUGAAGAAGGCCUUCGGGUUGUAAAGCUCUUUCGGCCGGGAAGAAAUCGCACAGGUUAAUACCCUGUGUGGAUGACGGUGCCGGAAUAAGAAGCACCGGCUAACUACGUG